rnacentral:tRNA from 1 species
GCUUUAGAAAGAUAAUAGCUAUCUAUUGGUCUUAGGAACCAAAAACUCUUGGUGCAACUCCAAGCUAAAGCU